GAUCGUGGCUCAGGAUGAACGCUGACAGAAUGCUUAACACAUGCAAGUCAACUUGAACUUCGGUUUGGGUGGCGGACGGGUGAGUAACGCGUAAAGAACUUGCCUCACAGCUAGGGACAACAUUUGGAAACGAAUGCUAAUACCUGAUAUUAUGAUUUUAGGGCAUCCUAGGAUUAUGAAAGCUAUAUGCGCUGUGAGAGAGCUUUGCGUCCCAUUAGCUAGUUGGAGAGGUAACGG
rnacentral:rRNA from 1 species